AGAACCUGUUCAGGCAGGUUCCCUACAUACAGCUGCAACUUUGUUGCAUUUAAAAUAAUUAUCCAAAUACUGUAUUGGAGUGUCAGCCAUUUGCAAAAUUCAGCAUUGGAAUUAGAGACCUGUGCAUGGCCUUAGCACAUUUUGUACAAUCACUGUCCAUUGUUCUUGGUGUCAUAUAAUGCUUUGGAAUCCUCAUUUUUGGUUGAAUACUCCCAGAGGGGCUGUAUUUAAGCAGUAAAGCUAUAAAACAGACACUUGUAGGAGAAAAUUAUAUUUAUGACCCAUUGUACACACACUAAAGUGGUAAAGUCCAUAAAAUUACCAAAUAAAUCUUAAUUGUUGUCAGGAUUUAGGUACAAACAGAUCGUUUGUUCAUCAUGGUUGCAAAUGGGAAAAAAACAUUUUUAAAGUUGGUGGGGGGAGGUAACCAGGGCCGGUGCAAGGAUUUUUGCCGCCCUAGGCAAAAGUAAAGUUUGCCGCCCCCCCAUGUGACAUCACAAUGCUCCACCCAUAUGAUCUGCCAUGUUAACUAAUGCCAGUGCUGCAGCGCCACCGUGUUUACA